rnacentral:lncRNA from 1 species
GUCCUGUGUGAAGUUUACUGAUGGAGUCAGAGGGAGAAAGAUUGUACAGCCCAGCGGUUCACUCAGCCACUCCUGCAAAGACUCUGGAUCACCUUCACUGAUUGCAGCAUAAGCUUGGUCCAGCAGGCUCCAGGACCAGAGUUGGCGUGGGCAGCAACAGGGAGAAAUUCAAGAGGAAGUUCUUACAUGCACCCUUACGUGCACGGUCUCACUGAGAUCUUUACUUCCUUUAUCACGUUUGUUCUGUAAAUCACAACGAAUGGUGCA